GGUGAGUAACACGUGAGCAACCUGCCUUUGUGAGGGGAAUAACGUCUGGAAACGGACGCUAGUACCGCAUAACGUCAAGGAACCGCAUGGUUUUUUGACCAAAGAUUUUAUCGCACAAAGAUGGGCUCGCGGCUGAUUAGCUAGUUGGCGGGGUAACGGCCCACCAAGGCGACGAUCAGUAGCCGGACUGAGAGGUUGAUCGGCCACAUUGGGACUGAGACACGGCCCAGACUCCUACGGGAGGCAGCAGUGGGGGAUAUUGCACAAUGGGGGAAACCCUGAUGCAGCGACGCCGCGUGAGGGAAGACGGUUUUCGGAUUGUAAACCUCUGUCUUCAGGGACGAAAUCAAUGACGGUACCUGAGGAGGAAGCCACGGCUAACUACGUGCCAGCAGCCGCGGUAAUACGUAGGUGGCAAGCGUUGUCCGGAAUUACUGGGUGUAAAGGGAGCGUAGGCGGGAGUGCAAGUUGAAUGUGAAAACGAUGGGCUCAACCCAUCGUUGCGUUCAAAACUGCAUUUCUUGAGUGAAGUAGAGGUAAGCGGAAUUCCUAGUGUAGCGGUGAAAUGCGUAAAUAUUAGGAGGAACACCAGUGGCGAAGGCGGCUUACUGGGCUUUAACUGACGCUGAGGCUCGAAAGCGUGGGUAGCAAACAGGAUUAGAUACCCUGGUAGUCCACGCCGUAAACGAUGAUUACUAGGUGUGGGGGGACUGACCCCUUCCGUGCCGGAGUUAACACAAUAAGUAAUCCACCUGGGGAGUACGACCGCAAGGUUGAAACUCAAAGGAAUUGACGGGGGCCCGCACAAGCAGUGGAGUAU
rnacentral:rRNA from 1 species